AUACGGAGGAUCCGAGCGUUAUCCGGAUUUAUUGGGUUUAAAGGGUACGCAGGCGGGAGAUUAAGUCGGCGGUGAAAUUUUGCAGCUCAACUGUAAAAGUGCCUUCGAAACUGGUUUCCUUGAGUGUAGAUGAAGUAGGCGGAAUUUGUGGUGUAGCGGUGAAAUGCAUAGAUAUCACGAGGAACUCCGAUUGCACAGGCAGCUUACUAAACUACUACUGACGCUCAGGCACGAAGGCGUGGGGAUCAAACAGGAUUAGAUACCCUGGUAGUCCACGCAGUAAACGAUGAUUACUAGCUGUUUGCGAUACAAUGUAAGCGGCUGAGCGAAAGCGUUAAGUAAUCCACCUGGGGAGUACGUUCGCAAGAAUGAAACUCAAAUGAAUUGACGGGG
rnacentral:rRNA from 1 species